CUCAUUUUUUCUCUUGCUGCCACCAUGUGAGAAGUGCAUUUCACCUCCUGCCGUGAAUGUGAGGCCUCCUCAGCCAUGUGGAACUGUAAGUCCAGUGAAACCUCUUUUUCUUCUCAGUCUCGGGUCUUUAUCAGCAGCGUGAAAGCGGACUAAUACACUGGUCAUCCUGAUAAGGUUUUAGGGAGCCCGAUCUUUUCAUAAUGUAAAGCAGAAGACACCUUCUAAUGAGAGGCUGAGUAGGAUAACACUAGUGGGAGUUUGGAGAUCUUAUGUUAAGGAUUCCCCUGACCUCUACAACAAGUUUGGUUGUCUCAUAUUCUCUCCAGUUCCUUAGGCCAGCUCAAGUUUUAUCAGUAUCUUUUGGACCCAAUGAGUCCUUCCUGGCCUCACUCCAGAAGAAGACUGGCCUCAGUCCAGAGAAACAAAAAAUGUGAAAUUCACCCACUGGAACUCUCCUUCUCCAAGUAUCAGUCUCCUUCCAGAAUUUCCGGCUUCUGGUCUCUUUUCAAGGAAUUUAGAAGCUUCUGGGAGCCUUCUGCAUUCCGUGGUUUGGGUCCCUUUCCUCCAUCUUCAAAACCAGUCUAACAGCAUUUUCAUAUCUCUAUGAUACUAAUUUCCUCUUUUUUGAGGCAUAAACAUAUUUUCAUUGAAAAUCGUGAAGAAUUGAGAAGGAAAGGAGUCUGAAAUUUUAAAUGGUGAGAUUCUACAAGUCAUCAGGUUCUUUCUUGCUGGCUAAGCCCUAACCUCUGGAAUUCAUAAUCGGAGGACCUCAUAAGGAUUAUGGAAACAGAAUUUCAUGGUAAAAUAAGUGGAAGUGCUAAAUUCUCAAGGAAACAUUAACCUUUAACAGUGGUUGCUUCUAAAGUUCCAAACAUAAGGUUAUAAUUCUGAGAGGAAUAGAAGGAAGAAAAACUUUUGUCCCUAAAUUUUCCACUUUUCUCCUCGUUCUCUUGUCCACACCAUAUGGCUAGACAUGACCACUUUGAAAUGAAGGUGAUGUUGUCUUUCUUGGAUUCCAUUUCCCACAUGUUGAACUCAUUUGGUGCAACUAAAUGCUGCAUGCAGAGACUUAAUGAAUACUUUGGAUGAUUAUGAUGACAAGGCACUAACAUGGCAGACUGAAUUUUCCCUCAUGGGAGAAGAAUCAGAUACUGUAUAAUGGAUUGAAAUGCUUAAGUUCAUGGCCAGCUUCAAAAGUAAGCUGAAGGAAGGACUACUUUUCAAAUGAAGAAGCUAAUUAUUUGUGCUCGAUUAGAUGAUGUGGGAAAUAGUGUUUCUAGUUUCACUUUUAAAUAUCAACAAGCAAGUCAACUGAUUAUAGAUUACGAGUUGCUCUUUAGAAAUCUGGACAAAAUGAUAUUCCUUGUCAUUGCCAAUAGCUCUUGUUUGCACAAGGUUCAUUUAUCAUCUCUUCUUGUUUUCAGGUUUGAGCAUGAGUCAUUGUGGUAAGGUUCUUGUAUGUGGCUGAUCAUAUUGAAUGCUAAUUCAGAACAUAUUGUACAAUAGACAUACCAAACUUCAAUAAUGAUUAAUUUUAUUUAGUCUAUUGCUUGAAUUACUUGUAAAAUAUGGUUUAUUGUUCUUUAAAAGAUCAAAUAUUCUAUCGAAAUCCAAACCACAUUAAUCAUCUGUUUCUAAAUACUAUAUAUCCAUGCUUUGUGUAAAUACAACUUGAUAUCUAAAGCUAUUAAACUAAAUUUUAAAAUUCCUAUUUUAUGUCUGAUAUAAAUCAGCAGUGCAAACUCAAAAAUGCAUUCACAUAAGCCAUUUUUUAGAUGCCUCUCAUUUUAUUGAAUAUCACUCUUUUAUGUCUAUUGAAACCCUUUUUUGUUGUUGGCAUUUAAAAAUAUACUUUCAUUCUGAGAACACGUCUUAGUUCUAGAUACUUGAGGUCAGAUAAUAUGAUAGCACAAGAGCUUUAAAAAAUUUUCGCAAACUAGUUAAUCUCUGAGUAGCUUGUCCUGUUUUUUUCCUCAGUUAUGAUUAAAUAUUUAUGGCCUCUAUCACUCACUUGCUCCUGAACAGAUUUUUCCUUAUUGAUAUAAAAUGUCCUCAUAUUUUGCCUAUAUGUGCUCCAUAUGUCAGCUACAUAUUGAAUCACAAAUACUCAUUAGCUUUCUUUGUGUAUUACUCAGAGCAAGAAGAUGAAACAUAUGACUAGGGCAAAACUCAUGAACACUCCAGUAAUUAUCAUAAAAGGCACAUUCUUCACGAGUAGCUGAUUAUUGUAUACAAAUUUCUACUUGCAAAAUAGAAAUUAACUAUGCUUUGUUAUUUUAUUUUUAGAAUUAAUCCUUCUUAAAUGUAUUAGAGUGAAACAUUAAUAGAAUUAUGUCAGAGGAUAAUUUUGCAUAAGAUAUUGAGGCAUUAUACCAGUACAGAAAGGUUAGAAAGUAUAUUGACUACUUUUAGACUUUUGUCUUAUGUAUAUUAUAAUUUACUAUGUCAGACAUAGCAAAUUUUUUUCUGAAGGAACUCUUGGAAUGGAAAUGAUCUUAAAAGACCUGAAAAAAAAAAUGCUUCUUUGCUGGGUUUAGGUCAAAAGUCAUCAUCUGGGAGCACCAUGAAAUUCAAACCAAGGAAGGGAAUUUUCCCAGUAAUGGUCCCAGCAAAAUGGGUGGUCUUAUGCCAGAAUAAUGUGUUUAGAAUGACUAUGUGCACUCUUUAAAAGUUAGGAUAAUAAAGAAGUGGGUCAACCAGUACACUCAUUAUUUACAACUGGAAUGAUAAUGUAGCAGCAAAAGCUCCUACGAGAAUGUAUUGAAAGACUAUUAUACUUCAACCCCUGUACAUAUCUCCUUCCAUAUGAUUUCUUAUUGUCACAAUUCUAUUACAUUGUAGAAAUAAAAUCUGAGCAAUAUUUUGAACCUCAUUGAUAAUGUAUAGAAGGGAUGAACUCUUUCUACCCGAUAAUAUUUUUUAAACUUUACCACUUGGUGAUUAGAAUAACAUCAACAACAAAUAAAUAAUAUAGAAUAAAACUCAAGCAAACACUGAGUAGAAUAGAGAAGCAUUAUUAGAUAUAGGGAUAGAUUAUGGUAAAAGAAUAGUUGCUUCCAGAUAAAGUUGAGGCUUUCUGAAGCAUUUUUAAAAAUCUGGUCAAUUUGGCUGCUGUUCCAAGUCCCAAUCACACCACACCGUAAGAAGACAACUUAUUCAAGCCUCGAAGAACAUUCCAUGCUCAUGGGUAGGAAGAAUCAAUAUCAUGAA
rnacentral:lncRNA from 1 species